GUAGCAAGAGAAAGUGAAAAUAUGAAUUCUGCAGGAAUUCCCCUGCUUAGUUUUCCCUCUAAGGUAAAAACUAGCUUCCCCAACAUUAACCAGUUUCACCAAGAGCGUGUGUGAGACGGAGGUCUUUACUGAGUCUCAGGUGCUACCCAGAAGGAUCGAAGUCAUGAGCCAUUCCACGACAAAGCCAAAGUGUCCACGUUGCCAUCAGACAGUUGUCACGGAUUCAGAAAGGCAGUGUGUUAUGUGCAAAUUGUGUUCCAUCGCAAGACGUCGUGUGUUUCGUUUCUGCUGGGAUUGUCAGAGAGAGUGGCCACGCAGCACUUCAUCAAACAGCUCCUGCACACAGCCAAACUGCGCUCUCCGGGCUGCUCUGAUCUCCAAAAAACGGAUCAAAGACCCCAACAGUUUGGUAAUGGGAUGCCCCUAUUUCAGGGCUUGUCCUGAGUGCAAUACCCUGCUCACACACUACGGAGACGACUGCCCCAACAUUGAAUGCCCCAAAUGCUUAACAGAAUUCUGCUUCCGUUGUCUUAACCGAAGUUGCUCACUGGAUGAAGAUGAAGAAUGUACUAUAGUAGAUAACCGGCAGAGUCUGAUGAAAAUUCGUUAGUAGAAUUAAUCUGUAGGAUAGGCAUAUAGGUUUUUAAACAAAGUGUUAAAGCUCUGUGGGGAAUGGGUGGGGGGGCUGGUGUUCAGUCUCCAGGAGUAGGGUUGGGAAUCUUUAAAACACAGUUCAGGUCAUUCUGUGCUUCUUAUGAUAUAAAAAAUGAUUAACUGAAAUAUACUUAAAUUUGGAAAAUGUAAUCUUUCACUGAUGUGUGAUAUGUGAUCAAAUAUGAUUUCUGUGUGCAAAGGUAAAUGUUUGUGAACAAUCUGUAAAAUUGUGAAUGUGAGGAAAACCCAAAGUAACCCAUCCGUUAAAGAGAAUUUUAAAAUGAAAGUGUGGUUUUAUUUCAUCGUGCUUAAACUUUGAACUUUGUCUAAAUACACAGUUUUUCAGGAUGCAGAUGAAUGAUUGAUAAACAGAUAAACACAGCCCUUUCCAUCACCAAGUCCAAACAAUGAUGUCCUCAGGGCAAGAGAGAAAGUGCAUCCACUUUAUCACCCCACAGUCACACAACCUGUCUUCAGCCUGCCACAGCUGUCAGUCUUGCUGUAGAUGUAACUACUCUGUAGAUUCACUCAUAUUAGCCAUUAUUUCCCAAGUAACCAUAUAUGUACCAUAUAGAUACACUUUGUCGUACAUAUUACUAUGGACAGUGUUUUAUGCCCCAUCUCCUCACCCAAAACAAAUGAGUAAAAUGAACUGUACCAUUUCUUGUCACUGGAGAGGUACCCUCAAAGGUACAUGUUUACUACCUGUAUUAUGGACCUUUAGUAGAUGUCUUGAUAAUUACCUGGAAAGGUGCCGUGUACCUGUAUUGCACCUGGAAAUAUAGUGUAAAGUAUUACUCCAAAUGCUACUCAAAGAAUGGUCAAGAAUGGACCUUAAAAUCAAACUGUGUACCUUAAAUAAUUUUAAGCAUUACAUUCACAUUACCAUGUAAUAGACACACUAAUGGUACAGAAGUUGAACCCUUGAUGGAGAUUUUAAUAACUAACAGUUGCAGUAGACCAUUAUAGCCACAAGAGGGUGCCAAUAGAAUAUUUCACCAUUAAGACUCUGAUCUUUCAUAACACUAUACAGGUAGAUAACAAAGAAUAAUAGAAUAAGAUAAGCUACUCUACAUGAUAAAUAAUAUACCUGAGCCCAUAUACUAUAGUAGUUAAUCAUUUCAUAUAGCACAUUUUAUAAAAUUCUUGCAGCUUAAAGUGUUAUACAAUUGUACAAUAAAACAAAUAUAAAUAAAUUUGGAAUUUGAUGCCUUCAGAACUCUCAAAAAAGUUGGGACAGGGGCAUGUUUAUCACUGUGUUACAUUAAAUUUGUUUAUAUUUACAAAAUACAAUUAAGUUGGUCAGUGAGAACAUUGAAUAUGUUUUCUUUGUACGCUUGUCAGUUAAUUAAUGUCGCGUCACAGCAAACUAGUGACUACAUUUCCCAUACUGCAUGGCGGCCUACAAACAUGGCCGCCAUGGACUGCAAUUCCCAGAACUCUCACACACACCUGCACUCAAUCUCACACACACUCACUACCACAGUAUAUAAAAGACUGUUCUAACACUAUGACUUUGUGAGGUAUUACGUGAGUUUUCCGCAUACCAAGCGUUUGUUCUCGUUUCAUGUGUUAUUGUUUUGAUCUCGUUCUGGUUUUGCCUCGUUUAUGCCUUUUUGCCAAUCACCUGACCCAUUGCCUGUUUUUUUGACCACACUAUUGUCUGAUGAUUUGGAUUUGUCUGCCUGUCUCUCUUCAAAUAAAAGCUCUUAUCUGCACUUGCGUCCAUCCUAACGUCCA